GGGUCAGUAGGUUGGUCGUGCCACCGGUACGUACUGGUCUCACUGAUUACUCCUUCCUGAAGAACCGUAAUGCCAUUAAUUUGGUGUUGCGGGGAAACAGGACUGUUACUUUGAAAAAAUUAGAGUGUUUAAAGCAAGCUAACGCUUGAAUACAUUAGCAUGGAAUAAUGAAAUAGGACGAUCGAUCCUAUUUUGUUGGUUUCUAGGAUUGACGUA
rnacentral:rRNA from 1 species